AACAUGCUGCUGCUUCCCUUACUCAUUGUGACUUCAUUUUGGUCCCGUGGAGAUGCACAGGCUGCACCGGUGCAAAGCCCGGCAGAGCGCACGCUGGUGGCGGGCAGCUCAGUCUCCAUGACAUGCCAGCUGAGUAGUGACAACACUGUGCACUGGUACAGGCAGCUUCGCGGGGAGCCACCCAAAAGGAUACUGUACAUGUCUGGGUACUCACCUACCUUUGAUAAAAGCAUCGAUAGAAUGAAGUUUCAAGCCCAGAAAAAUCCUUCCAACUGUGUUCUGACAAUAAAGAAAGCCACCCAGAGGGAUACCGGUACUUACUACUGUGCAUACUGGAAUUAUCCAAAAUACCCAGCAUUAGAUGAGCAAUGAUAAGCUGUGCAAAAAGGCAUUUGGCACUCUGAACCUCUAGCUAUGAACUCGUACCACGUGCAGAUACUUCUUUAUCCCCCAUUUCUCUGGUGAUUUUCUGCAGCAGGAUAGGAAAAGCAAAAGAUGAACUUGGCCAGUGUGUAAUGGAAUAUGUCAAUUAAUAAUCUGAAUAUUUUUCUGUACUUACAAGUACCUCUAACAUGAAGAAACUGCAGGUUCUCAGUCACAGAAGGUUAAAACUCAGUGGCUUUACUGUUAUGGUGAAGAGCUGACUGUACUCAGAGCAUUCACCUUACAGUGAACACAGUCUGUGCCUGCGAACAACAAGGAGUUGUAAAUUUCCCGUUUAUUAAAAUCCAUGGAGCGAGCAGAGAAACAUAUCUCAUUUCCCUUGAGUCCCUCACUUGAAUGGAGACACAUGUGAAACAAUGAGACAAAACUACGUGAUAUUCUAGAUCCUCCUUCAUUUUUCUUCUGCUGCCUUCCCUUGCAGUUCAGUUAUUACCAACUCCUUCUCCAGCCCUGAAAGACCCAUUUUAUUGUCUCACCUGAUGAAACCAGACUGAACUUAACUCUUCUUCCAUGGCCUGGUCUCCAACAUUCCCUUUGAGCAAAGUGCAUUGACUUCUAAAACUCAGGGACUACACUCAAAGCCUCUUUUCACCAUCCAAGGAAAGCUGGUGUUUGUCUGACAGUUAGCUCCAAAAUCUGAGUACUG